rnacentral:siRNA from 1 species
UACGAGAUAUUGGUGCGGUUCAAU